rnacentral:rRNA from 1 species
GUGAACGCUGGCGGUAGGCCUAACACCUGCAAGUCGAACGGCAGCACAGUAAGAGCUUGCUCUUCCGGGUGGCGAGUGGCGGACGGGUGAGGAAUACAUCGGAAUCUACUUUUUCGUGGGGGAUAACGUAGGGAAACUUACGCUAAUACCGCAUACGACCUACGGGUGAAAGCAGGGGAUCUUCGGACCUUGCGCGAUUGAAUGAGCCGAUGUCGGAUUAGCUAGUUGGCGGGGUAAAGGCCCACCAAGGCGACGAUCCGUAGCUGGUCUGAGAGGAUGAUCAGCCACACUGGAACUGAGACACGGUCCAGACUCCUACGGGAGGCAGAAGUGGGGAAUAUUGGACAAUGGGCGCAAGCCUGAUCCAGCCAUACCGCGUGGGUGAAGAAGGCCUUCGGGUUGUAAAGCCCUUUUGUUGGGAAAGAAAAGCAGCAGGUUAAUACCCCGCUGUUCUGACGGUACCCAAAGAAUAAGCACCGGCUAACUUCGUG